rnacentral:rRNA from 1 species
AUUGAACGCUGGCGGCAGGCCUAACACAUGCAAGUCGAACGAGUGGCGGACGGGUGAGUAAUGUCUGGGAAACUGCCGGAUGGAGGGGGAUAACUACUGGAAACGGUAGCUAAUACCGCAUACCAUCAGAUGUGCCCAGAUGGUAGUGGCUUGUGGGUGGGGUAACGGCUCACCAAGGCGACGAUCCCUAGCUGGUCUGAGAGGCUGACCAGCCAAACGGGAACGUAGACACGGUGCAGCGUCCUACGCGCGGCAGCGUUGGGGAAUUUUGCACAAUUGGCGCAAGCCCGAUGCCGCCAUGCCGCGUGUCUGCAGAAGGCCUGCGGGUUGUAAAGUACUUUCCGCGGGUAGGCGUUACCCGCAGAAGAAGCACCGGCUAACUCCGUGCCAGCAGCCGCGGUAAUAC